AGUAAAAUACUUGUGCAAAAAGUAGCUGUAAAAUCCCAAAUCUGGCUUCAGCUGAAGCCAGAUUUGGGAUUUUACAGCUACUUUUUGCACAAGUAU